UACUGUUUUCCGAGCAUCAUUCUUUAAGCCAAAAGACCAUGCUGAAUAAGGUUGGCAUCCACAAGAAAACCCAGCACUAAUGAAAUAAGUACACCCUUUUCACAGGUUCUCCAUCUCCCAGGAAAUUCACCUUUAGCACUAAAAGUCUCAGAAAUUCAAGUGAUAGAAGAACAAGAUAAUGACACCACAAGAAAACAGAUAUAUCCACAAUGUGGGACAUUCUGCAGGACAACUGACCCACUUUCCACAAGCAGUCAAUCAAUGGCACAGAAAACCAAUGGGGGAGGAGAGCUGGAGGUUGCCCUUGAUUAAAAAAGACUUAACAUCCAA